UCCUACGGGAGGCAGCAGUGGGGAAUAUUGGGCAAUGGAGGAAACUCUGACCCAGCGACGCCGCGUGCGGGAUGAAGGCCUUCGGGUUGUAAACCGCUUUCAGUAGGGAAGAAGCGAAAGUGACGGUACCUACAAAAGAAGCACCGGCUAACUAUGUGCCAGCAGCCGCGGUAAUA
rnacentral:rRNA from 1 species